GGCCAGCAUCAGUUUUNUGGCGGGGAUAAGGUUGCGUAAACCACCUAGUGGGGAUCAACGUNCGNUACNNCAAGGGGGACUUAGGACUGCCGCUGUAGGAUGCUGCACAAC
rnacentral:rRNA from 1 species